GAUGAACGCUGGCGGCGUGCCUAAUACAUGCAAGUCGAGCGAACAGACGAGGAGCUUGCUCCUCUGACGUUAGCGGCGGACGGGUGAGUAACACGUGGAUAACCUACCUAUAAGACUGGGAUAACUUCGGGAAACCGGAUCUAAUACCGGAUAAUAUAUUGAACCGCAUGGUUCAAUAGUGAAAGACGGUUUUGCUGUCACUUAUAGAUGGAUCCGCGCCGCAUUAGCUAGUUGGUAAGGUAACGGCUUACCAAGGCAACGAUGCGUAGCCGACCUGAGAGGGUGAUCGGCCACACUGGAACUGAGACACGGUCCAGACUCCUACGGGAGGCAGCAGUAGGGAAUAUUACGCAAUGGGCGAAAGCCUGACGGAGCAACGCCGCGUGAGUGAUGAAGGUCUUCGGAUCGUAAAACUCUGUUAUUAGGGAAGAACAGAUGUGUAAGUAAAUAUGCACGUCUUGACGGUACCUAAUCAGAAAGCAACGGCUAACUACGUG
rnacentral:rRNA from 1 species